rnacentral:pre_miRNA from 1 species
GUUGCGGCGGACUCUAAUUCGCUUGGUGCAGGUCGGGAACUUAAUUCGCCGGCGGCGGCGCGUUUUGCGCGUCGAAAUUUUAAUAAUUAAGUGCUCUUAUUCAUCGUACGUAGUAUGUAUGCGUAAGAGUGCGACGACGCCGUUGAUUUGGCGAAAAUCAGGUUCCCGCCUUGCAUCAACUGAAUCGGAGACCGCGGUGAAC